AAUUUUGGACAAUGGGGGAAACCCUGAUCCAGCCAUCCCGCGUGUAUGAUGAAGGCCUUCGGGUUGUAAAGUACUUUUGGCAGAGAAGAAAAGGUAUCCCCUAAUACGGGAUACUGCUGACGGUAUCUGCAGAAUAAGCACCGGCUAACUACGUGCCAGCAGCCGCGGUAAUACGUAGGGUGCAAGCGUUAAUCGGAAUUACUGGGCGUAAACCGGUGGAAGGGGGUUGGGAAAGAAAAAUGGAAAACCCCAGGGCCCAACCUUGGAACGGCAUUUUUACUUGCCGAGCUAGAGUAGGUAAGAGGGGGGUAGAAUUCCACGUGUAGCAGUGAAAUGCGUAGAUAUGUGGAGGAAUACCGAUGGCGAAGGCAGCCCCCUGGGAUAAUACUGACGCUCAAACACGAAAGCGUGGGAGCAAACAG
rnacentral:rRNA from 1 species